rnacentral:rRNA from 2 species
UACGUAGGGUGCGAGCGUUGUCCGGAAUUAUUGGGCGUAAAGGGCUCGUAGGCGGUUUGUCGCGUCGGGAGUGAAAACACUGGGCUUAACUCAGUGCUUGCUUCCGAUACGGGCAGACUAGAGGUAUUCAGGGGAGAACGGAAUUCCUGGUGUAGCGGUGAAAUGCGCAGAUAUCAGGAGGAACACCGGUGGCGAAGGCGGUUCUCUGGGAAUGUCCUGACGCUGAGGAGCGAAAGUGUGGGGAGCGAACAGG